rnacentral:rRNA from 1 species
GACGAACGCUGGCGGCGUGCCUAAUACAUGCAAGUAGAACGCUGAAGGAGGAGCUUGCUUCUCUGGAUGAGUUGCGAACGGGUGAGUAACGCGUAGGUAACCUGCCUGGUAGCGGGGGAUAACUAUUGGAAACGAUAGCUAAUACCGCAUAAUAGCAGUUAUUGCAUGAUAACUGUUUGAAAGGUGCAAUUGCCCCACUACCAGAUGGACCUGCGUUGUAUUAGCUAGUUGGUGGGGUAACGGCUCACCAAGGCGACGAUACAUAGCCGACCUGAGAGGGUGAUCGGCCACACUGGGACUGAGACACGGCCCAGACUCCUACGGGAGGCAGCAGUAGGGAAUCUUCGGCAAUGGACGGAAGUCUGAACGAGCAACGCCGCGGGAGUGAAGAAGGUUUUCGGAUCGUAAAGCUCUGUUGUAAGAGAAGAACGAGUGUGAGAGUGGAAAGUUCACACUGUGACGGUAGCUUACCAGAAAGGGACGGCUAACUACGUG